AUUGAACGCUGGCGUCAUGCCUUACACAUGCAAGUCGAACGGCAGCGGACCUUCGGGUGCCGGCGAGUGGCGAACGGGUGAGUAAUAUAUCGGAACGUACCUUUCAGUGGGGGAUAACGUAGCGAAAGUUACGCUAAUACCGCAUAUUCUGUGAGCAGGAAAGCAGGGGAUCGCAAGACCUUGCGCUGAUUGAGCGGCCGAUAUCAGAUUAGCUAGUUGGUGAGGUAAAGGCUCACCAAGGCGACGAUCUGUAGCGGGUCUGAGAGGAUGAUCCGCCACACUGGAACUGAGACACGGUCCAGACUCCUACGGGAGGCAGCAGUGGGGAAUUUUGGACAAUGGGCGCAAGCCUGAUCCAGCCAUGCCGCGUGAGUGAAGAAGGCCUCGGUUGUAAGAC
rnacentral:rRNA from 1 species